CGUCCAGGGCUCGGCCACGCGCGCAAAUGAGGGGCUGGAUCCCCUGACACGAUUGUGCGCCCCCGUGCUGGAGGAACAGCUCAGGAAGUCCGCAAGGCGUGGGGUUCUGAGCCCGGCCUGAAGCGCAUCGGAGGAGCGGGAAAGCCCAGCAUCCGAGUGGGCUUUGGAAUCUGGUCUUGCUGGAGAGAUGGCUCAGCGGUUAGGAGCACUUCCAGAGGUCCUGAGUUCAAUUCCCAGCAACCACAUGGUGGCUCGCAGCCAUCUGGCACUCUGUAGACCAAGCUGGCCUCAAACUCAGAAAUUCGCCUGCCUCUGCCUCCCAAGCGCUGAGAUCAAAGGUGUGCGCCACCACGCCUGGCCAUCGGCAUCUUUCUUGAUCGAUCAAAACCAAUGAGGACAGGGACCUUUAACUUUGGACAUGCAGAUUCCCGAUUAAAUCAAAGCAUUAGAACCAAUCCCCAUCAGAGAGAGACCCUCCUGUUCCCAGACUGUCCAGGACAUGGUGUUCCAUGCUGAGAGUUCGUAGAUGCUGUUCCAUGAUACCAUGCACUGGCCUGAGGUGCUGCAAGCUACGUGGGGAGAUGUGAAGGCACAGACAGGCCUCACAGGAUCACUGGCUGC
rnacentral:lncRNA from 1 species